rnacentral:rRNA from 1 species
AGUGAACGCUGGCGGUAGGCCUAACACAUGCAAGUCGAACGGCAGCACAGUAAGAGCUUGCUCUUACGGGUGGCGAGUGGCGGACGGGUGAGGAAUACAUCGGAAUCUACUUUUUCGUGGGGGAUAACGUAGGGAAACUUACGCUAAUACCGCAUACGACCUACGGGUGAAAGCAGGGGAUCUUCGGACCUUGCGCGAUUGAAUGAGCCGAUGUCGGAUUAGCUAGUUGGCGGGGUAAAGGCCCACCAAGGCGACGAUCCGUAGCUGUCUGAGAGGAUGAUCAGCCACACUGGAACUGAGACACGGUACAGACUCCUACGGGAGGCAGCAGUGGGGAAUAUUGGACAAUGGGCGCAAGCCUGAUCCAGCCAUACCGCGUGGGUGAAGAAGGCCUUCGGGUUGUAAAGCCCUUUUGUUGGGAAAGAAAAGCAGCAGGUUAAUACCCCGCUGUUCUGACGGUACCCAAAGAAUAAGCACCGGCUAACUUCGUG